UACGUAGGGUGCGAGCGUUAAUCGGAAUUACUGGGCGUAAAGCGUGCGCAGGCGGUUCGUUAAGUUCGAUGUGAAAGCCCCGGGCUCAACCUGGGGACUGCAUUGGAAACUGGCGAGCUUGAAUGCGGCAGAGGGGGGUGGAAUUCCGCGUGUAGCAGUGAAAUGCGUAGAGAUGCGGAGGAACACCGAUGGCGAAGGCAGCCCCCUGGGCCGACAUUGACGCUCAGGCACGAAAGCGUGGGGAGCAAACAGG
rnacentral:rRNA from 1 species